rnacentral:misc_RNA from 1 species
CUAGUCCGUCUGCUGCUUCAUUCUGUCGACGAGCAACUCCGCGACGCGGAGACUUGAAGGCGUGGUGUUGCGGGCUGCGAGUUGCACCAGCGUCACCUGUGUUGCUUCCAGCCGCUUAUCGCGCAGCGGGAUCGCGACCAAGGUGCCGGAGACCAGUUCAGGCAUCGCCGCGUUCCGCGGCAGGAAAGUCCCGAGACCGGUCUUGGCAGCCAUCGUUCGUGCGAACGCGAUGGAGUUGGUUUCGCUGUAG